ACUCAAAUGAUAUGUAAGUCGCUCUGGAUAAGAGCGUCUGCUAAAUGUAAAUGA
rfam:Salmo salar isolate Sally breed double haploid chromosome ssa06, whole genome shotgun sequence.